rnacentral:rRNA from 1 species
AGGAUUAGAUACCCUGGUAGUCCACCCCGUAAACGUUGGGAACUAGUUGUGGGGUCCAUUCCACGGAUUCCGUGACGCAGCUAACGCAUUAAGUUCCCCGCCUGGGGAGUACGGCCGCAAGGCUAAAACUCAAAGGAAUUGACGGGGACCCGCACAAGCGGCGGAGCAUGCGGAUUAAUUCGAUGCAACGCGAAGAACCUUACCAAGGCUUGACAUAUACGAGAACGGGCCAGAAAUGGUCGACUCUUUGGACACUCGUAAACAGGUGGUGCAUGGUUGUCGUCAGCUCGUGUCGUGAGAUGUUGGGUUAAGUCCCGCAACGAGCGCAACCCUCGUUCUAUGUUGCCAGCACGUAAUGGUGGGAACUCAUGGGAUACUGCCGGGGUCAACUCGGAGGAAGGUGGGGAUGACGUCAAAUCAUCAUGCCCCUUAUGUCUUGGGCUUCACGCAUGCUACAAUGGCCGGUACAAAGGGCUGCAAUACCGCGAGGUGGAGCGAAUCCCAAAAAGCCGGUCCCAGUUCGGAUUGAGGUCUGCAACUCGACCUCAUGAAGUCGGAGUCGCUAGUAAUCGCAGAUCAGCAACGCUGCGGUGAAUACGUUCCCGGGUCUUGUACACACCGCCCGUCAAGUCAUGAAAGUCGGUAACACCUGAAGCCGGUGGCCCAACCCUUGUGGAGGGAGCCGUCGAAGGUGGGAUUGGUAAUUAGGACUAANUCGUAACAAGGU